GGCUCGAUGGCUGAGUGGUUAAGCGCCUGGCUUACGAACCUGGGGUCCUGGGUUCGAAUCUCGGUGAAGACU
rnacentral:tRNA from 1 species